ACCUCUGCAGUUGAGUUGGUUUUGU
rnacentral:piRNA from 1 species